GUUUUUUUAGCCGAGUGGAGGGCGUGUGCCUGCUAAGUACAAACGAGAGUCCAAAUCUCUCGAUAAAAG
rnacentral:tRNA from 1 species